rnacentral:rRNA from 1 species
AUUGAACGCUGGCGGCGUGCUUAACACAUGCAAGUCGAGCGGUAACAGGUGUAGCAAUACAUGCUGACGAGCGGCGAACGGGUGAGUAAUGCUUCGGAAUCUUCCUCGUAGUGGGGAAUAACCUGGGGAAACUCAGGCUAAUACCGCAUACGAACUACGGUUGAAAGCAGGGGAUCGCAAGACCUUGCGCUAUGAGAUGAGCCGAAGUCGGAUUAGCUAGUUGGUGAGGUAAAGGCUCACCAAGGCGACGAUCCGUAGCUGGUCUGAGAGGACGACCAGCCACACUGGGACUGAGACACGGCCCAGACUCCUACGGGAGGCAGCAGUGGGGAAUAUUGGACAAUGGGGGCAACCCUGAUCCAGCGACGCCGCGUGUGUGAAGAAGGCCUGCGGGUUGUAAAGCACUUUUAGUGGGGAUGAAAAGCCAAGGGCUAAUACCCUUUGGUCUUGACCUAACCCAAAGAAAAAGCACCGGCUAACUCUGUGCCAGCAGCCGCGGUAAU